UUAAUUGAAACCAAAAUAGAGGUUUUUUAUUGUUAAUAAAAAAAUUGAAGAUUAAUUCCAAUUAAA
rnacentral:tRNA from 1 species